AACGGAGGAGGCAAGCGUUGUCCGGAUUUAUUGGGCGUAAAGGGCAUGUAGGCGGUUCUGGAAGUUGAAGGUAAAAUCUCCCAGCUUAACUGGGAGGAGUCCUGCAAUACUCCAGGGCUAGAGGUCAGCAGAGGAAAGCAGAAUUCCCGGUGUAGCGGUGAAAUGCGUAGAUAUCGGGAGGAAUACCGUUGGCGAAGGCGGCUUUCUGGGCUGAUACUGACGCUGAGGUGCGAAAGCGUGGGGAGCAAACCGG
rnacentral:rRNA from 1 species